CUUAAGUGGGGAAUAACGCAUCGAAAGAUGUGCUAAUACCGCAUAAUCUCUAAGGAGGAAAGCAGGGGAUCGUAAGACCUUGCGCUUUUGGAGCGGCCGAUGUCUGAUUAGCUAGUUGGUGGGGUAAAAGCCUACCAAGGCGACGAUCAGUAGUUGGUCUGAGAGGACGACCAGCCACACUGGGACUGAGACACGGCCCAGACUCCUACGGGAGGCAGCAGUGGGGAAUUUUGGACAAUGGGCGAAAGCCUGAUCCAGCCAUGCCGCGUGAGUGAAGAAGGCCUUCGGGUUGUAAAGCUCUUUCAGUCGGGAAGAAAAGGUUGCGACUAAUAAUCGCAAUUCAUGACGGUACCGAAAGAAGAAGCACCGGCUAACUACGUGCCAGCAGCCGCGGUAAUACGUAGGGUGCGAGCGUUAAUCGGAAUUACUGGGCGUAAAGGGUGCGCAGGCGGCUUUGUAAGUCAGAUGUGAAAUCCCCGGGCUUAACCUGGGAACUGCGUUUGAAACUACAAAGCUAG
rnacentral:rRNA from 1 species